AAUCGUCCGUGAAUAUAUUAUUAACUAAGCCCAUACCCUUGACCACGUUGAAGUGUCUGGAUGAGAUUCCUUCGCUUGUAACUAUGCCUGCCGAUUCCUGACCUCUGGAUACAAUAUCAAGUAUUAUUUGGGACGUCCCUUGGAUGCUGAUAUUGAUAUUUCAGACCAAAUGGUGAAGGUAGUCCAUUAUAUCCGAGAAAAUGGACAAGAACAAUCUACUCUUAAAGAGUUGCAAGAUAUUGCAGUACGUCUCACAGUGCUUCGAACAUAUGGCUCUAGAGGA